UACGUAGGGGGCAAGCGUUGUCCGGAUUUAUUGGGCGUAAAGAGCGUGUAGGCGGCCAGACAAGUCUGCUGUGAAAACUCGAGGCUCAACCUCGAGCUGUCGGCGGAAACUGUCUGGCUAGAGUCCGGAAGAGGAGAGUGGAAUUCCUGGUGUAGCGGUGAAAUGCGCAGAUAUCAGGAAGAACACCUAUGGCGAAGGCAGGUCUCUGGGCCACUACUGACGCUGAGAAGCGAAAGCAUGGGGAGCGAACAGG
rnacentral:rRNA from 1 species